UACAGAGGUCUCGAGCGUUGUUCGGAUUCAUUGGGCGUAAAGGGUGCGUAGGUGGUUGUAUAAGUCAGCUGUGAAAGCCUGGGGCUCAACCCUAGAAGAGCAGUUGAGACUGUAUGACUAGAGUGCUGGAGAGGAUACUGGAAUUCACGGUGUAGCAGUGAAAUGCGUAGAUAUCGUGAGGAAGACCAGUGGCGAAGGCGAAUCCCUGGACAGUUACUGACACUGAGGCACGAAGGCCAGGGGAGCAAACGGG
rnacentral:rRNA from 1 species